GGUACAGUAAUCCCAACACCUGGGGAUAAAGGCACCAGGAUUGGUGCAAAUUCAAGGUCAGCCUAGGAGCAAAAGGAGAUCCUGUACCAACUAUACCAACACACACAUAUAUGUGCAUGCAUAUACCAAAGAUUACAUUAUUUAAGAGGUCUGUCACACAGAUAGGUCACACGCUGAUAGGUAAGGGAAUUACGAGUAGGGAUCCAUAUCCUGAGAAACACCCCUGUUAGCAACAGCAGGAUCUAAAUUGCAUUAUCUGUAGGAGUUAGGGGGUCCAAAGGUUCACACGGAAGGCUUUAAAGCAACAGUUGAAUACAUAACGGAAGGUUUGCCAUGGAAAGCCCUGGAAUACAAGCACAACAGUCUGGACAUUGUACCAAGCUUAAGGUAAUUUUCAGCCCUGGCUGCUGAGCAGAAUUGCCUGGAGAGUGUUAAGAAGUAUACCCACAGCCCACCUCCCUCCAGGUCAAAGGUAACAGCUGUGAAUUGAAACAGGGUGAUUAUAACAAACAGUCCAGUUUAGGAAGCACAUUAAGGCCUGGGUUUAAAGGCAGUGGUUCUGAGCUUGCUACCUGUGGAAACUUCUCUUCCAACCCGAGUUAAAUAGUGUUUCCUUUGUGUUUCCUGAACAACCAGCUCACUGUAAAAUCUGUGACUUUUUUUUUUUAAACUUCUGUGAUGCUCCAUAGAACACUAAGCUACAAAAUAACUAUUCUAAGUGGCCUUUACCACAUGGCAAGGAAAUGCCCUACAUUUCACCCAUGCCCGAACUUCACAAAACUACUUUUAAGUACUCAGAGAAUCUAAGUCAUAGUAUUUAGACUAGGUGCCCGACAUUGUGACACAACCUUGUCAUUUACACAGUCACCCUCGGGAGCCACAUGAUCAGAUUAAAAACAAAACAAAACAAACAAAAAUAAAAAACCAAAGGUAUUGAUUAAGUUUUCAAGUGUUGGGCCACAUCCAUGGUUAUUCUGGGUCACACGGGCCUUUUGGUGAGACAUGCUUGACGCAGCUUUUGUUUACAACACUUGGUUUCAGAAAGUGUAAUGUAUCUUACUUAUUUUGCAACAAAUACUUUCAGUGUACUUUCCAAACAAAUGGAAACACCGCAUCUACGCAGCAAAUCAAGAGUCCUGGGGAAAGGAAAAUGUCACUAGGGUGACUGUUGAGAGGGCAGAGAUCGCAAAAAGCAAGGCAGGCUGGCCAUGAGGAAAAGGUGCUGAAAAGUCCACUCACCAUAGUUUCCUUAAGCAAUCUGCCCACUGCUACCCGUAAAGUUAGCCAGAACUGUCCUGCAUGCUACUUUAUUCUAUUUAGUAGGUAAAAUGUUACUCGAACAUUCGUUGGGAUUUGGCAGUUAGUUUUAUGUGAUCUCUUAUCUGCAGACGAGGUCAAUAAAGAAAAAAAAAUCCAUGAGAGAACGCAAUAGUCAAAGCGUCCAACCUCAGCAAGAGCCCAGAAAACUCAUGCUUGUUCAGGAAAUAGGAAAUCAGACCUAGCUAUUCGCUUGGACCAGGGCUAUUCGGCAGCAAAAAGAUGAGCUUCUAAAAAGAAAACGCCAACCUAACUCUCCGACACGGGGGUGAAAGUUACAAAAGCAGGCAGCACGAGUUUGACGAGUGGGUCAGAAGGAAAGUCAGAAGACGAGGAAAGAGAUGGAAGAGAUGGCAAAAGGUGAAGGAGGCGGGCAAAGGCCACCUGGAGAGGACCUGGCAGCCCAGUUCUUUAUGCACCCAGGACAGCAUGGGGCCUCUGUCCGCCGGUGAGAACCGGAGCGGGGCGAGCCCCCGCGGGCCUGGCACCGAGGGUACGGGCAGGCCAAGGUGAAGAAGGCGCUCGCCCCGGGUCAGUUUUGCUUCAUUUCACAAGCCAGUCUGCCUGAGACCUAGUGGUGGUGAAAUUUUCAUGAGCUCUUCAUGGCAAAUACAUAAUGGACGCAGACCUUGCUUUGUGAAAAAGUGUCUCGAGACAGAGUUUCUCUGUGUAGCUUUGGCACCUGUCCUGGAACUCGAUCUUAGACGAGGCAAGCCUCGAACUCAAAGAUUCGCCUGAAAAAUUCUUAAAUGUAGAAAAGUUUUUAAGACAGUGCCUCAUGUAUCCCAAGCUGGCAUUAAACUUACUGUGUAACCUUGAACAUUGAUACUUUCAUCUCUGUGUGUACCACCAUGUCUGGUGCUAGUGUUUCAUGCUUGCUACCAACUGAACCCAAUCCCCAAACUCACAGAAACCACUAUUUGUUUUUUAUAGCAAUAUCACACCCAGCACUCACCAAUAUGCAUACCUCUAUAGGUAGAAGGUAUACUUUAAAAAACACACACACACACACACAAUUAUACUUCAGACACUAUUUCAAAACUCUCAACAUAGCAAAGGAGACUUGACAACCAGUUUUAUAGGUACACAAGAUUCAUUCUGUAACCAGGCUCAGUAGCAAACAGCUACUCAAGAGGAGACAGGAUCUGAAGGUUUGGAGCCAACCAGCCUAAGUCCAUAGUGAGAUGAGAGGGACACAGACACAAAAAUGUCACAAAUCUUUACAGUUUCGUUUAAAAAAAAAAAAAAACAAACUUAUAUUUCCUAUGUAAUCAACACCUAGAUAGAAAUACAGAAAACUUUCUGGGUCUGUCCCCAGUCCAUACACUAUUGGAGAGAACCAUUAUUCUGUGUAUGUCAACAUAGUUUCGUUUCUAACUGCAGAAUCCUGUUCCACUCCCAUCCAAAUACUAACCAGGCCGACCCUGUUAGUUUCCAAGAUCAGAUGAGAUCGGGUGCAUUCAGGGUAUGGCCAUAGACUCUGUUCCACUCUAUAACAACAUCUAACCAAGUUUCAAUUAGAAACCACACUGCUCUGUAUUUAAUAUUAUUCCUACCUACCAUUUCAUUUUUAUUUUGGUCACUUUAGUAUUCACAUCUUGUUUAAAGAAACUAAUCUGCAUCUCCUUUAGCUUUAUUUUUCAAUUGCACUGAUAACUGACUGCGCUGCCUUAAUAUCAUCUUAGAUAUUCCUAGAGAGGAAGAACAUAUAAAAGUAACCAGCUUACCGACCACAAAUCCAAGCCAUAAUUCCCUUGGUUCAUAAAAACAAGAAAUCUCAGGUGAAAUAGCCAACAGCCUAUACUUCUCAUACUUCAAAUAUGCAUAUAAAAACAUAUAGCAACUAUCAACUGCAAAUUUGUCUACUAUAGAGAUAAGAAAAAUACAUUAUUUAUAACAGGAUAUCCUACUGCUGUUGAUAAUAAAAAUAACAACCGUAAAAAAAAUAAAAUAUUUAAAAUAGUAAACUUAAAGUUUGUUUCAACACCCAAAAUUUAAAUCCUAGAGGGUUUUGGUUUCCCACUUCAGAGUCAACUACUUAACUGUUUUUGGUAAGCUCAAUAAAAAGGGAAAACUUAGCAAAUAAAAUUUCAAACAAAAACUACAAAAUAGGACCACUGCUUUGCACAGGUCUUUCUAAUGAAGUCAGGAGAUUGAACACAGUGCAGUUGUACAAGUUUUGGAUCUCAAGGACAUUAACAUCUCAAACAAACAAGAACUGUACUACACCAUUAUUUCAUUUCUUUAGUAUCUUAAAAGGAACAAAGAGGAAAAUUUAAAGUCCCAUGUUUGUUAGAAGUUAGUUGUCGAAAAUUAAAGAACUAUACCUAUAAAAACAUCUUGAAACUGUUUAGUCCAGAACACAAUUCUAAGCUCCCAAUUGUGAGAAAUAAAAACCUUAAGGAAUCUUAAUUUUGAGCAUGCUUACUGGCCUAAACUGUAGUUUUGUCUAAAUUUGUCCAGUUCCUCAUUUCUAGACAUCUGCCUCCAUAAUGUUACAUGUAAAUAUCUGUUUAAAUAAAUAGAACCAGCUAGUGCUGGUGGCUCAGUUUGCAAUACUAGCUACUCAAAAAACUGAGGCCAAGAACAUUGUUGCCAAGUUCAAGGCUGGCCUGAGCAACAUAGAAGACCCUAUCUCAAACUAAAGUGCUGGGGGUUAUAGAUGAGCGGCUGAGUGCUUUCCUUCAGGUCCCAGAACUUCAGUAAGUAAAAGAAAGCUACUCUAAUAGUACACUUAAUAACGAGUUCAAACAGACUGAUAAGAACCCCACUGUGUGGCUCCAUUUCUACUGUCAAAUUAGGUAUCAGAAAGAUUACAUCCUAUGCCUAGAGAAACUGAACUAGAUCCAAGUUUUUUAAUCUAAACGUCCAGAAUAAUUUUGGACUCAUUAUCUUCAUUGCUAUUACUAUAACAGAACAUGACAAAUAUGUAUUGAGUAUCAAUAAGAAAGAGAGACAGCAUCAAAAAAGUCAUACACUACUAGGAAAAUAAAACUUUUCCUAAAGAUAGUUGGAUCACCUAUUUUAAAAUUAGCCAAAUGUCCCGGAUCGUGACUCAAGCGGCGCAAACAUUCCAACACAUGCAAAAAAAAAAAAAAAAAAAAAAUCAACA